UACAGGACUUGGUACCAGCUGACACACGUGGCUGACAGCAGCUGAUAAUGAAGCCUUUUCUCCCUGGUCCUGAACUACUUCAGUGAAGAAAAUGAACAGUGUCCACUACUCAAUAGAGGUCUCAUUCUAGAAGGAGAAAUAGAACAAAAAAUAAAAAGAGGAAAUUAUAUAUGAAAUCUCCAGAGUGGAGAAAGUUAGACAUUUUAGUCAAGGUCAUGAGGAAACACCUCAGUGAGAAGGGAUGGAAUGUGGCUGUCCAGGCAAGGAGCUUCUUAGGCAAUAGAAAAUCAGUCCUCUCCUGAACUGCAUCUGACUGAUAAUCUCAUAUAUUGACUUAAAAAUGGGGACAACUUUGAGGCAUGUUUGCCCACCUCCCAGGAGUCCUCAGCGGUAUUGGGCGCCAGGUGCAGUAUAUAGAUUAAGAAAUGUAAGAGUUUAUAGUCUUCGAAUCAGUGUACCUAGAAUUUCCUUGCUCCACCACUCAUGUUGGGAAAAUUAAGGGCACUUUCUUCAACUAGGAGACCUUUGCCAGAGCAUGUGAAGACCUUCUUGGCAAACACCAGCCAUGCUCACUUCUCACCAUCCCCCAGUGCCACCUACUCUCUGCUCAACACUCUCCAUGCCCCUCCCAGAGCCAUUGAUCCCGUUCCACCAGAAGAUCACAUCUUAGAAAUGCCCCAGACAUCGUUGGACAUUUCUUCAUGCUUCAUGAGCUUCAAAAUCUUUUAAAAAUUUAAUGCGCUUAUGAAUCUCUAACAAGCUCCUAAAUAACUUGUAUGCUAUUGUUAAAAAACUCCAAAUAUUAAUAAGUAUUAGUAAAAUGUUGCUGUUAAUAGUAAAUCAGCUAAGCGUCAAAAUGCUACCUGGAAAAGCAAGCAGAAUAGACAUUCCAAUGUUAAAGGGCAUCAAGAGCAAGACUCUUAAAGAGCCUAUGAAAUCAUUUAAGUGUGAGAUAAAAAGGUUGGGAAUUUCAUACAUAUUUAGCAUUGCCUGAGAAAUGUCUCUAAGUUUUUCUUUUUUCACUCUAGAAUAUUACCAAAGUUGCAGUUAAUUACAUUUCUGCUGCUACAAAAACAUUUUUUCAUGCCUCAGUGAUUCAUGAAUCUUCCAUUGUGUGUAUUAGGCAGCAGCUCUUGUAGACAAUGACAGAGAAUAAAAUGCUUCCAGAGGAAACACGAUUCAGGUGUCUGUUUUUGGGUUAUGCGGUGUCAGAUUGGUCCCAUUGUGCUUCAGAGAGCAUUUGUUAUUUUGUGAUAUGGCUACAGACAGGUUUAAGAUCCAGAUCAUCAUCUUACUUCAAAGAGUGUGAAUAAAUGAUUCAAGAAAGAAAAAUAAGAAUGGAGUAUUUGGAUAACAAUAUAUUCUCAAUUUAAAACGGUUUAUGAAGGGAACAAACAUACCAUGCAAAUGAGAAGCAGUUUUAGAAGGGGAAGUGUUGUGCUUCAUCACAACUAAUUAUUACUUGAAUAUUUAUUAGUAGUAUGAGAAACUAAAUGUCUAUGGCCAUACCACCCUGAACGUGCCGGAUCUCAUCUGAAAAGGAAAAAAUAGCUUCUACUUUCAAUGGUGAGAUAUAAACAAAAGUUCUCUUUCAUUACGCUUAACAAAAAAUGUGCAUCUUUAAAUUUUUUUUUUUUUUUUUGAGAUGGAGUCAUGCCCUGUCACCCAGGCUGGAGUGUAGUGGCCCGAUCUCAGCUCACUGCAAGCUCUGCCUCCCAGGUUCAUGUGAUUCUCCUGCCUCAACCUCCCCAGUAGCUGGGACUACAAAUGCACACCACCAUGCCCUGUUA
rnacentral:lncRNA from 1 species